rnacentral:rRNA from 1 species
GAUGAACGCUGGCGGUGUGCCUAAUACAUGCAAGUCGAACGCACAGCGAAAGGUGCUUGCACCUUUCAAGUGAGUGGCGAACGGGUGAGUAACACGUGGACAACCUGCCUCAAGGCUGGGGAUAACAUUUGGAAACAGAUGCUAAUACCGAAUAAAACUUAGUGUCGCAUGACACAAAGUUAAAAGGCGCUUCGGCGUCACCUAGAGAUGGAUCCGCGGUGCAUUAGUUAGUUGGUGGGGUAAAGGCCUACCAAGACAAUGAUGCAUAGCCGAGUUGAGAGACUGAUCGGCCACAUUGGGACUGAGACACGGCCCAAACUCCUACGGGAGGCUGCAGUAGGGAAUCUUCCACAAUGGGCGAAAGCCUGAUGGAGCAACGCCGCGUGUGUGAUGAAGGCUUUCGGGUCGUAAAGCACUGUUGUAUGGGAAGAACAGCUAGAAUAGGAAAUGAUUUUAGUUUGACGGUACCAUACCAGAAAGGGACGGCUAAAUACGUG